CCUGGUUGAUCCUGCCAGUAGUCAUAUGCUUGUCUCAAAGAUUAAGCCAUGCAUGUCUAAGUUUAAGUACUAUGAAUGACGAAACUGCGAACGGCUCAUUAAAACAGUGAUAAUUGAUUUGAUGGACAUUCUACACGGAUAACCGUGGGAAACCAAGGCUAAUACGUGCAUAAGACUUCGGUCUGAGUUUAUUAGCUUAAGAUCCAUUUUGUGAUGGUUCAUGGUAAAUUAUCGGAUCGCACGCUUUCAGCGGCGAUGGUUCAUUCAAGUCUCUGACCUAUCAGCUUUCGACGGUCGGGUAUUGGCCCACCGUGGCUUUGACGGGUGACGGGGAAUUAGGGUUCGAUUCCGGAGAGGGAGCCUGAGAAACGGCUACCACGUCUAAGGAUGGCAGCAGGCGCGUAAAUUACCCAAUUCUGACAUAGAGAGGUAGUGACAAGAAAUAGCAACGUGAGGCAAUAGCUUUGCGAUUGCAAUGAGUAGAAUCUACACGUUUCUACGAGUAACAAUUGGAGGGCAAGUCUGGUGCCAGCAGCCGCGGUAAUUCCAGCUCCAAUAGCGUAUAUUAAAGUUGUUGCAGUUAAAACGCUCGUAGUUGAAUAUCUGCUAUAUGUGGUCGGUCCACUUCGGUGUGAUCCGUUUCACGAAAUAGCAUUCGUUUGCUUUGAUUUAUCAUUGCAAACCGUUUACUUUGAGGAAAUUAGAGUGUUCAAAGCAGGCAAGUGCCUUGAAUACUUCAGCAUGGAAUAAUUGAUAGGACUUCCGUUCUGUCGUUGGUUCUGGGAAUGUGAAGUAAUGAUUAAAAGGGGCGGGCGGGGGCAUUCGUAUUGAACAGUCAGAGGUGAAAUUCUUAGAUUUGUUCAAGACGAACUACUGCGAAAGCAUUUGCCAAGUACGCUCCCAUUAAUCAAGAACGAAAGUUAGGGGAUCGAAGACGAUCAGAUACCGUCGUAGUCUUAACUAUAAACUAUGCCGACUAGAGAUUGGAGGUGAGUCAUUUGGCCACCUUCAGCAUCUUCAGAGAAAUCUAAGUUUUUGGGUUCUGGGGGGAGUAUGGUCGCAAGGCUGAAACUUAAAGGAAUUGACGGAAGGGCACCACCAGGAGUGGAGCCUGCGGCUUAAUUUGACCCAACACGGGGAAACUCACCAGGUCCAGACAUGGGAAGGAUUGACAGACUGAUAGCUCUUUCUUGAUUCUAUGGGUGGUGGUG
rnacentral:rRNA from 1 species